rnacentral:rRNA from 1 species
GAGCAACGCCGCGUGAGGGAUGAAGGCCUCUGGGCUGUAAACCUCUUUUAUCAAGGAAGAAGAUCUGACGGUACUUGAUGAAUAAGCCACGGCUAAUUCCGUGCCAGCAGCCGCGGUAAUACGGGAGUGGCAAGCGUUAUCCGGAAUUAUUGGGCGUAAAGCGUCCGCAGGCGGUCUUGUAAGUCUGUCGUUAAAGCGUGGAGCUUAACUCCAUUUCAGCGAUGGAAACUGUAAGACUAGAGUGUGGUAGGGGCAGAGGGAAUUCCCGGUGUAGCGGUGAAAUGCGUAGAUAUCGGGAAGAACACCAGUGGCGAAGGCGCUCUGCUGGGCCAUAACUGACGCUCAUGGACGAAAGCCAGGGGAGCGAAAGGGAUUAGAUACCCCCGUAGUCCUGGCCGUAAACGAUGAACACUAGGUGUCGGGGGAAUCGACCCCCUCGGUGUCGUAGCCAACGCGUUAAGUGUUCCGCCUGGGAGUACGCACGCAAGUGUGAAACUCAAAGGAAUUGACGGGGGCCCGCACAAGCGGUGGAGUAUGUGGUUUAAUUCGAUGCAACGCGAAGAACCUUACCAGGGUUUGACAUCCUGCGAAUCUCUUGGAAACGAGAGAGUGCCUUCGGGAACGCAGUGACAGGUGGUGCAUGGCUGUCGUCAGCUCGUGUCGUGAGAUGUUGGGUUAAGUCCCGCAACGAGCGCAACCCACGUCGUUAGUUGCCAGCAUUUAGUUGGGCACUCUAGCGAGACCGCCGGCGAUAAACCGGAGGAAGGCGUGGAUGACGUCAAGUCAUCAUGCCCCUUACAUCCUGGGCUACACACGUACUACAAUGCUACGGACAAAGGGCAGCAAACUCGCGAGAGCUAGCAAAUCCCAUAAACCGUGGCUCAGUUCAGAUCGUAGGCUGCAACUCGCCUACGUGAAGGAGGAAUCGCUAGUAAUCGCAGGUCAGCAUACUGCGGUGAAUACGUUCCCGGGCCUUGUACACACCGCCCGUCACACCAUGGAAGUUGGCCACGCCCGAAGCCGUUACUCCAACCCUUGUGGAGGAGGAUGUCGAAGGUGGGGCUGACGACUGGGGUGAAGUCGUAACAAGGUAGCCGUACCGGAAGGUGC